rnacentral:rRNA from 1 species
GACGUAGGGCGCGAGCGUUGUCCGGAUUUAUUGGGCGUAAAGAGCUCGUAGGCGGCUCGUUGCGUCGGCUGUGAAAACCCGCAGCUCAACUGUGGGCUUGCAGCCGAUACGGGCGGGCUAGGAUUCGGUAGGGGAGACUGGAAUUCCUGGUGUAGCGGUGAAAUGCGCAGAUAUCAGGAGGAACACCGGUGGCGAAGGCGGGUCUCUGGGCCGAUAUCGACGCUGAGGAGUGAAAGCGUGGGGAGCGAACAGG